UCAGACUCCUCAUUAACCUUCUCUUCAUCUUUCAGCGCUCUCUCUUCGUCCUGCCCAACCCAGCAUUCCUCAGUGCCACCUCCUCUCCGAACAGCAACAGUCACGUCAAAGAAUAUUCUCUAUGAGGGGAAUGACGACCAUCUGCAGCCCCCCUGCCCCAUGACAUCUGGAGACGGGCUGAGACACAACAACCGCAGAACUCAAACUCACACACACACACACACACACACACACACACACACACACACACACACACACACACACACGCACGCACGCACGCACACACACUGUCUUCACUGUAAUGAAAACUGUGCAGCAGAAAGAGACAAAGAAUGAGGUACAGUUCGGGGUGGAGUUGAAGGAAAGAAAUCGGGAGCAGAGAUGAGCACAGGGAUAUGGUGUAAGGUGUAAUGGCAGUAACACAUCAUGCCACUGUGGGGCUGUCGUCGUUCAGAGUACAUUUUCCUCUUCCCAGGACCGAGGAUAAUAAUUAAGGCCGAGUAGACGAAGCUGUGUUAAUGAGGACUCAUGUCUCCGUGGUCCUCUCCUCAGAACUACCUGUACAUCUGUCGAAGAGGUUGCCUUUUUUAUUUUUCACAAUGACACAUUGGAUCUUCAGUACUCUCUGCUUAUGUAUUCAUUGGUUUAUUACAUUACACCGGGCACAGCGGAGAGCAGAGAAAUUAGCAUUGCUGCAAAUGCACCAAAAGGCUAUUUUUAAUCUGUUGUCCCUGGACAGAAGUUACCUCGUCACCCUGAAGGAGAAUCCACAACUGAAAUGAUGAUUUAGUUUUUCCCCAAAUGGGAUUAUCAGUUGCAUCUGUUUUCAAUUUAGAAAUGUCUAUCUUCAACUUUAAAAGUGAAUGUGAUUAUCCCCUGCACUGUUUCUUGGAUAAAGGUAUCAUGCAUCGGU